ensembl:ncRNA C39E6.12 ncRNA
AAAAAAGAGCUUAAGUGUGUCAAGUGAUCCCCUUUGAUGGAUGGAAGGGAAAGAAGCCCCAAAAAUUUUUGUGUGCUGGGUUUUGUGACUCAAUGUUUGCACUUGCUCCCUCAAUUG